AUUGAACGCUGGCGGCAUGCUUUACACAUGCGAGUCGAACGGCAGCGCGGGCUUCGGCCUGGCGGCGAGUGGCGAACGGGUGAGUAAUGCAUCGGAACGUGCCCAGUAGUGGGGGAUAGUCCGGCGAAAGCCGGAUUAAUACCGCAUACGACCUGAGGGUGAAAGCGGGGGACCGAAAGGCCUUGCGCUAUUGGAGCGGCCGAUGUCGGAUUAGCUAGUUGGUGGGGUAAAGGCUUACCAAGGCGACGAUCCGUAGCUGGUCUGAGAGGACGACCAGCCACACUGGGACUGGGCCACGGCCCAGACUCCUACGGGAGGCAGCAGUGGGGAAUUUUGGACAAUGGGGGCAACCCUGAUCCAGCCAUGCCGCGUGCGGGAAGAAGGCCUUCGGGUUGUAAACCGCUUUUGUUCGGGAAGAAAUCCUCUGGGCUAAUACCCCGGGGGGAUGACGGUACCGGAAGAAUAAGCACCGGCUAACUACGUG
rnacentral:rRNA from 1 species